rnacentral:rRNA from 1 species
AACACGUAGGCACCAAGCGUUGUCCGGAUUUAUUGGGCGUAAAGAGCUCGUAGGCGGUUCAGUAAGUCGGGUGUGAAAACUCAGGGCUCAACCCUGAGCGGCCACCCGAUACUGCUGUGACUUGAGUCCGGUAGGGGAGUGGGGAAUUCCUGGUGUAGCGGUGAAAUGCGCAGAUAUCAGGAGGAACACCGGUGGCGAAGGCGCCACUCUGGGCCGAGACUGACGCUGAGGAGCGAAAGCGUGGGUAGCAAACAG